rnacentral:lncRNA from 1 species
AGCUGCUGCUGCUGCUGGUUCCAAACUACGCUGGAUUAAAAAGAGGCAAAGAAGCAGAAGAUAAGCACAGCAGGGUUGCCUGGGAUGAAGUUUGCUCAGCCAUUAAAAGGUGGGAAAGUCUCCUGCUGCUGUGUAUAUGAGAGAAAGCCACUGUUAACGUCAUGUGUCAGCUACCCAUCAAUUGAGGCAGAGGAAGCAAUUGGUUCAUCAAGGGGUUGGUAAGAAGCCCUCCAAACCUUAAUUAUCUGAGUG